CCAUCAACACCCUGCUGUUCCUCGAAGACCUCGGCUUCUGCCCGAAGGGCGAGGGUGGGCGCUUCGUCGAGGGCGGGCGCAUCGCCCCUGGCGGC
rnacentral:tRNA from 1 species